AUUGAACGCUGGCGGCAUGCCUUACACAUGCAAGUCGAACGGCAACACGCGGGCUUGUGCUUGCUGGCGGGUGACGGACGGGUGAGGCAUCCAAAGGUACCCGUUCUGUGGGGGGAGCUAGCCCGGCGAGAGCCUGAUACCUACCGCGAACGAUGUACGAAUGAGAGGGAGGGUCAGUCGUCGCUCGCUCGGUACGGUUGGCGGAUGUCUGAUUAGGUAGUUGGUGGGGUAAAGGCCUACCAAGGCGACGAUCAGUAGCUGGUCUGAGAGGACGACCAGCCACACUGGGACUGAGACACGGCCCAGACUCCUACGGGAGGCAGCAGUGGGGAAUUUUGGACAAUGGGCGAAAGCCUGAUCCAGCAAUGCCGCGUGUGGGAAGAAGGCCUUCGGGUUGUAAAGCGCUUUUGUCCGGAAAGAAAUCGUUGUGCUUAAUACGGGCGGGGAAUGACGGUACCGGAAGAAUAAGCACCGGCUAACUACGUG
rnacentral:rRNA from 1 species